rnacentral:rRNA from 1 species
GACGAACGCUGGCGGCGUGCUUAACACAUGCAAGUCGAACGGAAAGGCCCUGCUUUUGUGGGGUGCUCGAGUGGCGAACGGGUGAGUAACACGUGAGUAACCUGCCCUUGACUUUGGGAUAACUUCAGGAAACUGGGGCUAAUACCGGAUAGGAGCUCCUGCUGCAUGGUGGGGGUUGGAAAGUUUCGGCGGUUGGGGAUGGACUCGCGGCUUAUCAGCUUGUUGGUGGGGUAGUGGCUUACCAAGCCUUUGACGGGUAGCCGGCAUGGGAGGGUGACCGGCCACAUUGGGACUGCGAUACGGCGCAGAAGCCUACGGGAGGCAGCAGUGGAGAAUAUUGCACAAUGGGGGGAAGUCUGAUGCAGCAACGCCGCGUGCGUGAUGACGGCCUUCGGGUUGUAAACCGAUUUGGCCUGUGACGAAGAGUGAGUGACGGUAAUGGGUAAAGAAGCACCGGCUAACUACGUG